rnacentral:lncRNA from 1 species
GGAGAAGCUGCAUCCAUUGGAGUCAGCACGUUUACCACCCUAGAAGAUCCACUCGGAAAGUCUUCGCCAGUCCGGAGGCCUUCCAUUGAUUAUUUUUUGCUGACUUUGUCAUGGAACCUGUUGUCCUUGUAUGAGUGUUUCCCUCAUCAGACGAACCGGUUGCUGCCGCCACUUGGCCUUUUCUCCUCUUUUUUGUUCUCUCCCGUCCCUUUUAAAAUUCUAUGUUAUUUUAUUUUAGCUGUGUAAGUAUAUAGAGUAUACUCAACCUACACUUUUUAAUUGCUCUGGGCCAUUAGUAUUCUUUUUUUUUUUUGUUACUACGGUUUUGAUAUUUUAGUGGAAAAUGAAUCAGCUGGAUACAUAUGGGAUAUGCGAACUGUCCCAGCUAUGCCACCUUAUGGGCAGAUCUUUUAACCUCGUUUUUUCACAGCUUGUAACUGUGAAUGAGAAACUAGAUCAUCUCAUCAAGGGAAUUUCGCAACUGGCAAACGCCACUAGACAUCAAGAUGUUCCUGAGGAUGAGAAUAAUAUUGGAUAUAACUCGAGGGAAUCCAGUUGGCAUUUAGAUUUUGGGGGGGAGGGAAUACCUGGGUUUCAAAAGGGCAGCAAGGAGUUAAUAUUGGAUAAUGGGAAUAUCGAGGGAAUGGAUGAUAUGUGUGCUGAACAAACUGGCCCGAGAAGGGAAGAUAUGGAUAUGGAUAUAGGUUUCGGAGUGGCGAAGUCAUCAACGAAGGCUCCAUUGGAGGGGGAUUUCUCUCCUCCUCAUGUUGAGUGCCGCCAUGGCCAUACCUUGCAAACGAAACAACUGGCCUUUCUAAUUAGAGACUCCACAUGGAAUAGGGGUAGAUGGACCUCGAAAAGAGCGAUCCAGAGGUCCUUGGUUCAAAUUUUAUCAAGGAGCCUGACUACAGUCAAGAUUAAGACCAUUACGUGGCUCCAGAAGGACUAUCAAUCGCACGAUCGCUCUAUACGCCUCAUUUCCACCUUUGAGGAUAAGUCUAUUAUAGAGGAGUUAUGGGCCCUUAGGUCCUGGCUGCUAUUAUGGGGCAUCACCAUCAGAAAAGUAAUAGUAGACCCCGUGAUUCGUCCUCUUGUGGCCAACUUGUCUUUAUAUACUCAAGCACUAACUAGGCCAAAUGAUAAUAGGAUGUUCAAUCCUCACUGUAGGUCCCCUCCCUCAGAAAAGUCGCAUCUAGAUGUUCUGGCCCAAUCUUUCUCAGUCCCUUACCAGCAAUCGUUGCCUCCCCCUACUCCUCAAAGAUUUUCCGGUAGGCCCCACUUGUCCCCUUUCUUGGAAGCUAGGCUAGUUGGAAAUUCCAGCAGUCAUUUGGACUUGGGGAGUUGACUAGACUCUCCAAA